CCGGAUGCCGCUGGGGAAUAGUACUCCCUGUAAGGUAAGCUGCCGCUGGGGAAUAGUACUGACUGUCCCUACUCCCAGUACCUCCGUCUGUGAUUGGGGAUCUGGGCCGGCUGCCCAGCAUCCCUGUAGGGCCGGUGCAGAGACCUCGGUCCAUUCUCGACCUGCUGACUGGGGGUUGUUGUUGCUGGGGGGGUUCGAAGACAAAUUGGAGAUGCUGGGGUUAUAUGUAUAUGUACAUGUUGGAAUCAUGUUAAUUUUUCUAUUUUCUGAUAGCCUCCAAAAGAAUUUAAAGUAUGGAAGACAAAUGCAGUCCCUCCACCUGAGUCAUAUGAGACAGAAGACAAGAAGGCUCCCCCUCCUGAGAUGGAUAUGGCCAUCAAGUGGUCCAGUAUGUACCAAGAUAAUGGGGAUGACGCACCUCACAUCACAAGCUCAGCAAGGUUUCUACCAGAGGAAGAAUCUCAGGAGAAUGCCAGCGCGUCUGGUAAGCAGCAUGGAC